GCCAGGCAGAAUAACUGUGGCUGGUGGGGGCAUCAUCUUGUGGGCUUCUGUGUGACCGGCUCCCUGCGGGGGCCGAUAGCUCUGGAGCUGCACCCAGUGUCAGAAAAGAAGAGAGGAGGUAGAGGUAGAGCAGUUAGAGGAGAGGAGUUAGAGGAGAUAGAGGAGAGAAGUUAGAGUAGAGGAGUUAGAGUAGAGGAGUUAGAGUAGAGGAGUUAGAGGAGAGGAGUUAGAGGAGAGGAGAUAGAGGAGAGGAGUUAGAGUAGAGGAGUUAGAGUAGAGGAGUUAGAGUAGAGGAGUUAGAGGAGAGGAGAUAGAGGAGAGGAGUUAGAGGAGAUAGAGGAGAGGAGUUAGAGGAGAGGAGUUAGAUGAGUUAGAGGAGAGGAGUUAGAGGAGAUGGAGGUGUUAGAGGAGAGGAGUUAGAGGAGAAGAGUUAGAGGAGUUAGAGGAGAGGAGUUAGAGGAGAAGAGUUAGAGGAGUUAGAGGAGAGGAGAUAGAGGAGAGGAGUUAGAGAGUUAGAGGAGAGGAGUUAGCGGAGAGGAGUUAGAGGAGAAGUGUUAGAGGAAUUAGAGGAGAGGAGUUAGAGGAGAGGAGUUAGAGAAGUUAGAGGAGAGGCGUUAGAGGAGAGGAGUUAGAGGAGAGGAGUUAGAGGAGAGGAGUUAGAUGAGUUAGAGGAGUUAGAGGAGAGGAGUUAGAGGAGAGGAGUUAGGUGAGUUAGAGGAGAGGAGUUAGAGGAGAGGAGUUAGGUGAGUUAGAGGAGUUAAAUUAGUUAGAGGAGUUAGAGGAGAGGAGUUAGAGGAGUUAGAGGAGAGGAGUUAGAUGAGUUAGAGGAGAGGAGUUAGAGGUGUUAGAGGAGAGGAGUUAGAUGAGUUAGAGGAGAGGAGUUAGAGGAGAAGAGUUAGAUGAGUUAGAGGUGUUAGAGGAGAGGAGUUAGAUGAGUUAGAAAAGUUAGAGGAGAGGAGUUAGAGGAGAGGAGUUAGAAGAGUUAGAGGUGUUAGAGGAGAGGAGUUAGAUGAGUUAGAGGAGUUAGAGGAGUUAGAGGUGUUAGAGGGGAGGAGUUAGAUGAGUUAGAAAAGUUAGAGGAGAGGAGUUAGAGGAGAGGAGUUAGAGGAUUCAGAGGAGUUAGAGGAGAGGAGUUAGAGGAGAGGAGUUGGAGGAGAGGAGUUAGAAGAGUUAGAGGAGUUAGAGGAGAGGAGAUAGAGGAGAGGAGUUAGAGAGUUAGAGGAGAGGAGUUAGAGUAGAGGAGUUAGAGAAGUUAGAGGAGAGAAGUUAGAGGAGAGGUGUUAGAGGAGUUAGAGGAGAGGAGUUAGAUGAGUUAGAGGAGAGGAGUUAGAGGAGAGGAGUUAGAGGAGAGGAGUUAGAUGAGUUAGAGGAGUUAGAGGAGAGGAGAUAGAGGAGAGGAGUUAGAGAGUUAGAGGAGAGGAGUUAGAGUAGAGGAGUUAGAGAAGUUAGAGGAGAGAAGUUAGAGGAGAUGUGUUAGAGGAGUUAGAGGAGAGGAGUUAGAUGAGUUAGAGGAGAGGAGUUAGAGGAGAGGAGUUAGAGGAGUAAGAGGUGUUAGAUGAGUUAGAGGAGAGGAGUUAGAGGAGAGGAGUUAGAGGAGAGGAGUUAGAUGAGUUAGAGGUGUUAGUUGAGUUAGAGGAGAGGAGUUAGAGGAGAGGAGUUAGAGGAGAGAAGUUAGACGAGUUAGAGGAGUUAAAUGAGUUAGAGGUGUUAGAGGAGAGGAGUUAGACGAGUUAGAGGAGUUAAAUGAGUUAGAUGAGUUAGAGGAGAGGAGUUAGAGGAGUUAGAUGAAUUAGAGGAGUUAGAGGAGAGGAGUUAGAGGAGAGGAGUUAGAUGAGUUAGAGGAGAGGAGUUAGAGGAGAAGAGUUAGAUGAGUUAGAGGAGAGGAGUUAGAUGAGUUAGAGGUGUUAGAGGAGAGGAGUUAGAGAGUUAGAGGAGAGGAGUUAGAGAGUUAGAGGAGAGGAGUUAGAGGUGUUAGAGGAGAGGAGUUAGAGGAGAGGAGUUAGAGGAGAGGUGUUAGAGGAGUUAGAGGAGAGGAGUUAGAGGAGAGGAGUUAGAGGAGAGGAGUUAGAGGAGUUAGAUGAGUUAGAGGAGAGGAGUUAGAUGAGUUAGAGGAGAGGAGUUAGAGGAGAGGAGUUAGAGGAGAGUUAGAGGAGAGGAGUUAGAGGAGUAAGAGGAGAGGAUUUAGAGGAGAGGAGUUAGAUGAGUUAGAGGAGAGGAGUUAGAGGAGAGGAGUUAGAGGAGAGGAGUUACAUGAGUUAGAGGAGAGGAGUUAGAGUAGUUACAGGAGAGGAGUUAGAGGAGAGGAGUUAGAGGAGUUAGAGGAGAGGAGUUAGAUGAGAGGAGUUAGAUGAGUUAGAGGAGAGGAGUUAGAUGAGUUAGAGGAGAGGUGUUAGAGGAGUUAGAGGAGAGGAGUUAGAGGAGAGGAGAUAGAGGAGAGGAGUUAGAUGAGUUAGAGGAGAGGAGUUAGAGGAGUUAGAGGAGAGGCGUUAGAGGAAAGGAGUUAGAGGAGAGGAGUUAGAUGAGUUAGAGGAGAGGAGUUAGAGGAGAAGAGUUAGAUUAGUUAGAAAAGUUAGAGGAGAGGAGAUAGAGGAGAGGAGUUGGAGAGGAGUUAGAGGAGAGGAGUUAGAGGAGAGGAGUUAGAGGAGAGGAGUUAGAUGAGUUAGAAAAGUUAGAGGAGAGGGGAUAGAGGAGAGGAGUUAGAUGAGUUAGAAAAGUUAGAGGAGUUAGAGGAGUUAGAUGAGUUAGAGGAGUUAAAGGAGAGGAGAUAAAGGAGAUAAAGGAGAGGAGUUAGAGAGUUAGAGGAGUUAGAGGAGAGGAGUUAGAGAGUUAGAGGAGAGGAGUUAGAGGAGAGGAGUUAGAGGAGAGGAGUUAGAGGAGUUGGAGAGGAGUUAGACGAGAGGAGUUAGAUGAGUUAGAGGAGUUAAAGGAGAGGAGAUAGAGGAGAUAGAGGAGAGGAGUUAGAGAGUUAGAGGAGAGGAGUUAGAGGUGUUAGAGGAGAGGAGUUAGAGGAGAGGAGUUAGAGGAGUUAGAGGAGAGGAGUUAGAGGAGUUAGAGAAGUUAGAGGAGAGGAGUUAGAGGAGAGGAGUUAGAGGAGUAAGAGGAGAGGAGUUAGAGGAGAGGAGUUAGAGGAGAGGAGUUAGAUGAGUUAGAGGAGAGGAGUUAGAUUACUUAGAGGAGAGGAGUUAGAGGAGAGGAGUUAGAUGAGUUAGAGGAGAGGAGUUAGAUUAGAGGAGUUAGAGGAGAGGAGUUAGAGGAGAGGAGAUAGAGGAGAUAGAGGAGUUAGAGGAGUUAGAGGAGAGGGGUUAGAGGAGUUAGAGGAGAGGAGUUAGAUGAGUUAGAGGAGAGGAGUUAGAUGAGUUAGAGGAGAGGAGUUAGAGGAGAGGAGUUAGAGGAGAGGAGUUAGAGGAGAGGAGUUAGAUGAGUUAGAGGAGAGGAGUUAGAGGAGAGGAGUUAGAUGAGUUAGAGGAGAGGAGUUAGAGAGUUAGAGGAGAGGAGUUAGAGGAGUUAGAGGAGAGGAGUUAGAGGAGAGGAGUUAGAGGAGUUGGAGAGGAGUUAGACGAGAGGAGUUAGAUGAGUUAGAGGAGUUAAAGGAGAGGAGAUAGAGGAGAUAGAGGAGAGGAGUUAGAGAGUUAGAGGAGAGGAGUUAGAGGUGUUAGAGGAGUUAGAGGAGAGGAGUUAGAGGAGUUAGAGGAGAGGUGUUAGAGGAGAGGAGUUAGAGGAGUUAGAGAAGUUAGAGGAGAGGAGUUAGAGGAGUAAGAGGAGAGGAGUUAGAGGAGAGGAGUUAGAGGAGAGGAGUUAGAUGAGUUAGAGGAGAGGAGUUAGAGGAGUUAGAGAGUUAGAGGAGAGGAGUUAGAGGAGUUAGAGGAGAGGAGUUAGAGGAGAGGAGUUAGAUUAGUUAGAGGAGAGGAGUUAGAGGAGAGGAGUUAGAUGAGUUAGAGGAGAGGAGUUAGAUUAGAGGAGUUAGAGGAGAGGAGUUAGAGGAGAGGAGAUAGAGGAGUUAGAGGAGAGGAGUUAGAUGAGUUAGAGGAGAGGAGUUAGAGGAGAGGAGUUAGAGGAGAGGAGUUAGAGGAGAGGAGUUAGAUUAGUUAGAGGAGAGGAGUUAGAGGAGAGGAGUUAGAUGAGUUAGAGGAGAGGAGUUAGAGGAGUUAGAGAGUUAGAGGAGAGGAGUUAGAGGAGUUAGAGGAGAGGAGUUAGAGGAGAGGAGUUAGAGGAGAGGAGUUAGAGGAGUUGGAGAGGAGUUAGACGAGAGGAGUUAGAUGAGUUAGAGGAGUUAAAGGAGAGGAGAUAGAGGAGAGGAGUUAGAGAGUUAGAGGAGAGGAGUUAGAAGUGUUAGAGGAGAGGAGUUAGAGGAGUUAGAGGAGAGGCGUUAGAGGAGAGGAGUUAGAGGAGUUAGAGAAGUUAGAGGAGAGGAGUUAGAGGAGAGGAGUUAGAGGAGUAAGAGGAGAGGAGUUAGAGGAGAGGAGUUAGAGGAGAGGAGUUAGAUGAGUUAGAGGAGAGGAGUUAGAUGAGUUAGAGGAGAGGAGUUAGAGGAGAGGAGUUAGAUGAGUUAGAGGAGAGGAGUUAGAUUAGAGGAGUUAGAGGAGAGGAGUUAGAGGAGAGGAGUUAGAGGAGUUAGAGGAGAGGAGUUAGAGGAGAGGAGUUAGAUGAGUUAGAGGAGAGGAGUUAGAGGAGAGGAGUUAGAUGAGUUAGAGGAGAGGAGUUCGAUGAGUUAGAGGAGAGGAGUUAGAUGAGUUAGAGGAGAGGAGUUAGAUGAGUUAGAGGAGAGGAGUUAGAGGAGUUAGAGGAGAGGAGUUGGAGGAGAGCUGUUAGAGGAGUUAGAGGAGUUAGAGAAGUUAGAGGAGAGGCGUUAGAGGAGAGGAGUAAGAGGAGAGGAGUUAGAGGAGAGUUAGAUGAGUUAGAGGAGAGGAGUUAGAGGAGAGUUAGAUGAGUUAGAGGAGAGGAGUUAGAGGAGAGGAGUUAAAGUAGUUAGAGGAGAGGAGUUAGAGGAGUUAGAGGAGAGGAGUUAGAGGAGAGGAGUUAGAUGAGUUAGAGGAGUGGUGUUAGAGGAGUUAGAGGAGAGGAGUUAGAGGAGAGGAGUUAGAGGAGAGGAGUUAGAUGAGUUAGAGGAGAGGAGUUAGAGGAGUUAGAGGAGAAGAGUUAGAGGAAAGGAGUUAGAGGAGUUGAGGUGUUAGAGGAGAGGAGUUAGAGGAGAGGAGUUAGAUGAGUUAGAGGAGAGGAGUUAGAGGAGAGUUAGAUGAGUUAGAGGAGAGGAGUUAGAUGAGUUGAGGUGUUAGAGGAGAGGAGUUAGAGGAGAGGAGUUAGAUGAGUUAGAGGAGAGGAGUUAGAGGAGAGGAGUUAGAGGAGAGGAGUUAGAGGAGAGUUAGAUGAGUUAGAGGAGAGGAGUUAGAGGAGAGGAGUUAAAGUAGUUAGAGGAGAGGAGUUAGAGGAGAGGAGUUAGAGGAGAGGAGUUAGAGGAGAGGAGUUAGAGGAGAGUUAGAUGAGUUAGAGGAGAGGAGUUAGAGGAGAGGAGUUAAAGUAGUUAGAGGAGAGGAGUUAGAGGAGUUAGAGGAGAGGAGUUAGAGGAGAGGAGUUAGAUGAGUUAGAGGAGAGAAGUUAGAUGAGUUAGAGGAGAGGAGUUCGAUGAGUUAGAGGAGAGGAGUUAGAUGAGUUAGAGGAGAGGUGUUAGAGGAGUUAGAGGAGAGGAGUUAGAGGAGAGGAGUUAGAUGAGUUAGAGGAGAGGAGUUAGAGGAGUUAGAGGAGAGGAGUUAGAGGAAAGGAGUUAGAGGAGAGGAGUUAGAUGAGUUAGAGGAGAGGAGUUAGAGGAGAAGAGUUAGAUGAGUUAGAGGAGAGGAGUUAGAUGAGAGGAGUUAGAUGAGUUAGAAAAGUUAGAGGAGAGGAGAUAGAGGAGAGGAGUUGGAGAGGAGUUAGAGGAGAGGAGUUAGAUGAGUUAGAGGAGUUAAAGGAGAGGAGAUAGAGGAGAGGAGUUAGAGAGUUAGAGGAGAGGAGUUAGAGAGUUAGAGGAGAGGAGUUAGAGGAGUUGGAGAGGAGUUAGACGAGAGGAGUUAGAUGAGUUAGAGGAGUUAAAGGAGAGGAGUUAGAGAGUUAGAGGAGAGGUGUUAGAGGAGUUAGAGGAGAGGAGUUAGAGGAGUUAGAGAAGUUAGAGGAGAGGAGUUAGAGGAGUUAGAGGAGUUAGAGGAGAGGAGUUAGAGGAGUUAGAGGAGAGGAGUUAGAUUAGAGGAGUUAGAGGAGAGGAGUUAGAGGAGAGGAGUUAGAGGAGUUAGAGGAGAGGAGUUAGAUGAGUUAGAGGAGAGGAGUUAGAGGAGAAGAGUUAGAGGAGAGGAGUUAGAGGAGAGGAGUUAGAUGAGUUAGAGGAGAGGAGUUAGAUUAGAGGAGUUAGAGGAGAGGAGUUAGAGGAGUUAGAGGAGUUAGAGGAGAGGAGUUAGAUGAGUUAGAGGAGAGGAGUUAGAGGAGAAGAGUUAGAGGAGAGGAGUUAGAGGAGAGGAGUUAGAUGAGUUAGAGGAGAGGAGUUAGAGGAGAAGAGUUAGAGGAGAAGAGUUAGAGGAGAGGAGUUAGAGGAGAGGAGUUAGAGGAGAAGAGUUAGAGGAGUUAGAGGAGAGGAGUUAGCGGAGAGGAAUUAGAUGAGUUAGAGGAGAGGAGUUAGAGGAGUUAGAGGAGAGGAGUUAGAGGUGUUAGAGGAGUUAGAGGAGAGGAGUUAGAGGAGUAAGGGGAGUUAGAGGAGUAAGAGGAGUUAGAGGAGUUAGAGGAGAGGAGUUAGAGGAGAAGAGUUAGAGGAGAGGAGUUAGAGGAGAGGAGUUAGAGGAGUUAUAGGAGAGGAGUUAGAGGAGAAGAGUUAGAGGAGAGGAGUUAGAGGAGAGGAGUUAGAUGAGUUAGAGGAGAAGAGUUAGAGGAGUUAGAGGAGAGGAGUUAGAGGAGAGGAGUUAGAUGAGUUAGAGGAGAAGAGUUAGAGGAGUUAGAGGAGAGGAGUUAGAGGAGUUAGAGGAGAGGAGUUAGAGGAGAAGAGUUAGAGGAGAGGAGUUAGAGGAGAGGAGUUAGAGGAGUUAGAGGAGAGGAGUUAGAGGAGUUAGAGGAGAAGAGUUAGAGGAGAGGAGUUAGAGGAGUUAGAGGAGAGGAGUUAGAGGAGAGGAGUUAGAUGAGUUAGAGGAGAGGAGUUAGAGGAGAGGAGUUAGAGGAGAAGAGUUAGAGGAGAGGAGUUAGAGGAGAGGAGUUAGAGGAGAGGAGUUAGAGGAGAAGAGUUAGAGGAGAAGAGUUAGAGGAGAGGAGUUAGAGGAGAGGAGUUAGAGGAGAGGAGUUAGAGGAGUUAGAGGAGAGGAGUUAGAGGAGUUAUAGGAGAGGAGUUAGAGGAGAGGAGUUAGAGGAGAGGAGUUAGAGGAGUUAGAGGAGAGGAGUUAGAGGAGAAGAGUUAGAGGAGAGGAGUUAGAGGAGAAGAGUUAGAGGAGUUAGAGGAGAGGAGUUAGAGGAGAGGAGUUAGAGGAGUUAGAGGAGAUGAGUUAGAGGAGAGGAGUUAGAGGAGUUAGAGGAGAGGAGUUAGCGGAGAGGAGAGGCACCACCGUGUGAGAAGUAGUGUGCCUCCUUCGUGGUGGCUGAUGACGGAGCAGCACAGAUGGGCUUGGGGUUGGGGCUCGUUCCCCAGCAUGCUCCUUUGUAUGGAGCCCUGCUCACUAAUUACAG
rnacentral:lncRNA from 1 species